rnacentral:rRNA from 1 species
AGCUCCAAUAGCGUAUAUUAAAGUUGUUGCAGUUAAAAAGCUCGUAGUUGGACUUCGGAACUGGCCGAUUGGUCCGCCCUCUGGGUUGAGUACUGAUCGGUCUGUUCUUCUUCGCGAAGACUGCGUGUGCCCUUAACUGGGUGUGCGUGGGAUUCACGACGUUUACUUUGAAAAAAUUAGAGUGUUCAAAGCAGGCAAUCGCUUGAAUAUCUCAGCAUGGAAUAAUAGAAUAGGACUUUGGUCUUAUUUUGUUGGUUUCCGAGACCGAAGUAAUGAUUAAUAGGGACAGUUGGGGGCAUUCGUAUUUCAUUGUCAGAGGUGAAAUUCUUGGAUUUAUGAAAGACGAACUUCUGCGAAAGCAUUUGCCAAGGAUGUUUUCA